rnacentral:rRNA from 1 species
GAUGAACGCUGGCGGCGUGCCUAACACAUGCAAGUCGAACGGACUCAUAUUGAAACCUAGUGAUUUAUGAGUUAGUGGCGGACGGGUGAGUAACGCGUGGAAAACCUGCCGUAUACCGGGGGAUAACACUUAGAAAUAGGUGCUAAUACCGCAUAAGCGCACAGCUUCGCAUGAAGCAGUGUGAAAAACUUCGGUGGUAUACGAUGGACCCGCGUCUGAUUAGCCAGUUGGCAGGGUAACGGCCUACCAAAGCGACGAUCAGUAGCCGGCCUGAGAGGGUGAACGGCCACAUUGGGACUGAGACACGGCCCAA